UACAGAGGGGGCAAGCGUUGUUCGGAAUUACUGGGCGUAAAGGGCGCGUAGGUGGCCCUCUAAGUCGGACGUGAAAUCCCCGGGCUCAACCCGGGAACUGCGUCCGAUACUGGAGGGCUUGAAUUCGGGAGAGGGAUGCGGAAUUCCAGGUGUAGCGGUGAAAUGCGUAGAUAUCUGGAGGAACACCGGUGGCGAAGGCGGCAUCCUGGACCGACAUUGACGCUGAGGCGCGAAAGCCAGGGGAGCAAACGGG
rnacentral:rRNA from 1 species